CAGACAGUGAGAACAAGCAGUUGGAGACACUGUUCUCUAAAAGUAUUUUCCAAACCAGUACAUUUUUUUCCUUUUUCUUUUUCCUUUUUCAAUUAAAGGAAAGGGGGGGUUAUUAAGCAAGACAGAUACAAAGAGCACUGUUUAGAUAUCUCUACUGAAACUAUUUCUCUCGGCUGAAAGUUGGCACUCACUGCUCUGGAUUCCAGUGAUUCAUUUUUAUGGCUAAAUAAAUGAGGAAGCCAUCUUGUUUUCCACAUCACUGGCUCCAGCAUGCUAUAGAAGAUCACCAUGACAACAGGAGCUGGUUUGCCUGGUGUGAAGACAACAGUGUAGGCCCCAUUUCCUAAAUGCAUGUUUCUACAAAAGUUGAAUCACCAAUUAAAAGACUCUUUUCUAUCCUGGGGGCUUCAGAAAUGCAAAUGGUGUUGGGGAGACAGGCUGGUCAGCUGCUACACCUAGUAACUCCUUCUGAC
ensembl:lncRNA